GACGAACGCUGGCGGCACGCCUAACACAUGCAAGUCGAACGGAGAGUACGGAGCUUGCUCCGUAUGAUCAGUGGCGGACGGGUGAGUAACACGUGAGCAACCUGCCUUUCGGAGGGGGACAACAGCCGGAAACGGUUGCUAAUACCGCAUAACGUAUUUUGACGGCAUCGUUGAAAUACCAAAGGAGCAAUCCGCCGAAAGAUGGGCUCGCGUCUGAUUAGAUAGUUGGUGAGGUAACGGCUCACCAAGUCGACGAUCAGUAGCCGGACUGAGAGGUUGAACGGCCACAUUGGGACUGAGACACGGCCCAG
rnacentral:rRNA from 1 species